AUGCCGGUAUAUUUCCAGAAUCAUAACAAGGACGUAGUUCUUGCUACAGUUCUAAGUUAUGAUCCUAAAUUGAAAAUUGAUGGUGCUGAAAUUAAAAUGCAUUUUGGGCAGUGUAAUACAACACUUGCGAAAACUGAAGAUUUGGUACAGAGUCGCAAAAACUACAAUACUAAUGGUAAUGCAAAAAAAAAUAUUGCAUGGCCUUCAAUGUUUGUACGUGUCUAUUAUCCUGCCUUUAUCAAUACUUGCAUCAUGUCAAUGCAUUAUGAGUUAAUAGUUCAUUUUGUUAUUUUCUUUGUAGAUUGA
rnacentral:rRNA from 1 species